rnacentral:tRNA from 1 species
CGCGCGUUCGGUUAUGGGUAGGCCCUCGCCCUUUCAAGGCGGUGAAGCGGGUUCGAGCCCCGCACGCGCGACCA